rnacentral:rRNA from 1 species
AUACGUAGGUGGCAAGCGUUGUCCGGAUUUAUUGGGUUUAAAGGGUGCGUAGGCGGCCCUGUAAGUCAGUGCUGAAAUAUCCCAGCUUAACUGGGAGGGUGGCAUUGAUACUGCGGGGCUAGAGUACAGAUGAGGUAGGCGGAAUUGACGGUGUAGCGGUGAAAUGCUUAGAUAUCGUCAAGAACACCUAUGGCGAAGGCAGCUUACUAGGCUGUAACUGACGCUGAGGCACGAAAGUGUGGGGAUCAAACAGGAUUAGAUACCCCGGUAGUCCACACUGUAAACGUUGAUUACUCGCUGUGUGCGAUAUACAGUACGCGGCCAAGCGAAAGCGCUAAGUAAUCCACCUGGGGAGUACGCCGGCAACGGUGAA